rnacentral:rRNA from 1 species
GAUAAACGCUGGCGGCGCACAUAAGACAUGCAAGUCGAACGAACUUAACUCAUUCUUUACGAUUGAGAGCGGUUAGUGGCGGACUGGUGAGUAACACGUAAGCAACCUGCCUAUUAGAGGGGAAUAACAGUGAGAAAUCAUUGCUAAUACCGCAUAUGCUCACAGCAACACAUGUUGCAGUGAGGAAAGGAGCAAUCCGCUAAUAGAUGGGCUUGCGUCUGAUUAGCUAGUUGGUGGGGUAACGGCCUACCAAGGCGACGAUCAGUAGCCGGACUGAGAGGUUGAACGGCCACAUUGGGACUGAGAUACGGCCCAGACUCCUACGGGAGGCAGCAGUCGGGAAGUAUUGCGCAAUGGAGGAAACUCUGACGCAGUGACGCCGCGUAUAGGAAGAAGGUUUUCGGAUUGUAAACUAUUGUCAUUAGGAAGAUAAAAG